GUAUGGACUUGAAUAUGACAGUCUUUUCACUGAUGUCCAGGGAAUUUCUACCUUACAGUGCCCGGGGAAUGGGAUCUGGGGCUAGCUUUCUUCCUGAGAAAACCAGUCCUGGCUUUUGGGAUAUGGCUUCUCAUAUCUUGAAAGUACUCUGAUAUUCUGAAAGGAUGGUUGGUUGACACUACUGAGAGUCUACAGGGAGUGUGGGAAGUUACUCUUAGCAAACCUCAUAUUUUGGAAAGACAGAACCCAGGAAAGUUUAAUAAUUCCUGUAGGGACAGGAGUGCAGGCUGAGGUUGUUCACGGGAUGCAGGUGCUGUUCAACUUCUAAGUGCGGGCUGAGUUUAAUUCAACCCCCUUGGCCAGCACAGGCCCAGACAGGGCCUGGCUCUUUCUAGUCACCAAGUUGCCCUGACUCCCUGCCUUCUAGCAGAAUAACAAUUCGGGGGCAAUGUAGCGCUUGCCUUAUCUUCUUUGGGCUAGUUGGAGUUUCAGAGCAAAUACAUUCUUCUCUAGCCGGCUUAGCUUAAAGUCUGUUUACUUGUCCCCAGGAUAGGUGAAUAUUCAGAGGGCUCUGGGAAUGAGACCCAACAAACUGGACUUUGGUCCUCUCUUGCCACCAAUCACUCUGAUUCCUCCAGCUCCUACCUAGGGGAAUGUGUCAGCUAUAGAAGCAAUCUUGGCAUGCAGACUGGGGCAUAUCUCUUUAGGAAACUAGGUGCUGGGCUCAAAGUGAGCUGGGUUUAAGGUUUUAGUCCCCACAGUUUGGGGACACAAGCCAUUCACACAGCCUGCAACUGGGUCAGCACCUAGGAGGCUUUCAAAAACUGGGGCUCAGAUUUGUUCUGACCUCCAAGUAAAAGAAAUAAACAUUCUAGAGAUGCCCUGACACUGAGAUGGUGGAAGAGGGGAAGUUUCCUCAGUGAGCUGUAGAACAAAUGCCCUAGAAACUGCCCCCUGACAAGUAUCCCACUCAACUCCAGGCCGCGAUGGUUCAGGCAGUGGGGGGAUUUUGCAGACAGCAUCCUCCUCUUUGCUCCUCUCCCCCACCCCACCCCAACCCCGCCGUGUAAACACGAGGACUUUCUCGAGAGCCCUGGAGAGCCGCUCUAGUGGCUUCGGGGCCUGAAACCCCAGGCUUGGCUUGUUUGAUGUUUAGCAUCCCAAAGCGGCUCCCCACCCCCGCCCCAGCCUGGGAACCCCGAGCUCCGGGGCCGAAGAGAAGGGGAAGCAGUUCUCUCAGCUGGAGGGCGGUGGAUUGGCUGGGCUUAGAGAAGUGGCGAAAACUACAGGACUCCCCGCCCUGAGCAGGGGAGAAAGGGAUCCCGGAAUGAUGCGGUCAUCCAUGAGGAUAUAGCUGGAGUCCUAAAGGCCAAGAGGCAGACGGGGAAAGAAAUGUCACAAUUUGGGGGAAUACACUGGAGAUAGGGGCCAGGUCGGUGGAAAUAGCUUGGGGCCACCGCGAAAACAAGGUAAGCGGUGUCUGGGUCCAGUUAGUGAGCAUCGAGAACGGCGUCCACGACUGCAGGGCUAUCAGGGCCUCGAGGAGACAGCGCUCCGUGCCACUGCUUAGUGCUUGGCCUUUCAUAGGGACGAACCUGCUUAGGAGUCUUCCAAGAGAUUUUUAAAUCCUCCGAGUCUGGACCUGGAAGCUCCAUUGGCGACGUUUGGAUCUGGCUUCGUAGUCUUUGAUUUCGAAAGCCCAGGAAGAUUCGCAGACUUUCAAGGCCGCACACACCGCAUUGCCGGGAGUCUGGGCGGCGGUGAGGACUGAGAAGCUGUCUCAAGACCUGAGUCUCUUCUCAGGCGAUCCCAGAUAAGAGGAGAGAGAGAGAGCUUUUCUGACUUCCAACUCAUUAGGGACCAGAUUUGCUCUCCAGCACAGCAAAAGGGUCUGCCUGUGACCCUCACCGAACUCACUCUUCACUGCUUUAUAGAGACCAUCAGACUCAGGACAAAUAUUCUAGUUUGGAUGCGCAAUUAAUAAUAAGAAGAUACAGGACAGAGGCGGACUGAAUGGCUCCAAUUCUCAGAAUGUGAAAGCGUAAAUCAGAACCUACUAUUUUGUAAAACCAACUUGGAAAACAAAAUUGUCAGAAGCAAAACAACAACAACAACAACAAUAAAAACCAAACCAACAACAAAACCAAGCAAGUCAGGCUGUUUUACCAAUAAAGGGGGCACUGAAUGGAAUCAGAGAUCUGAUAAGUGCCGGGAAGUUGGACUAAGAGGGACAGGAGACUUCGAAACUUCUCUGAAUACUGCCAACUGUCAGUACUGCAAGUGGUCCACCCACCAAAGAGAUGGAACUCAACGUGGUAGAAUAGAAGCUGAGACAUGUGGACUUGACAGACUUGAGACUCGGCUAUUCAUCCCAGCUCUGAGAGCCCAUGCAGCUCAUUGAGCCUUCGCGACUCCUGGUUUUACUUUCAGCAAAAUGGAGAUAUUAAGCUCUGGGAUCAGUACACGUCAACCUGAACCCGGAAGAGUUCCAAGUAUCUUUCCCCUUCUCUGUCAGGUUCGUGUUACCCUGAACCUGUGAGCUCAGAAGGAAUUUUCUGGUUUUCGGGAGACGGCAGCCAUUCAUCAUAGCUCUCCACCACUGACUGACUGAGAGUCAAUUAUCAUCAAACAUCCAUCUGCCCAUGAUGCUAAUUAUUCCUACUCCAUGAUUGAGGAUUUGGAGUCGGAGACUCACCUGCAAUAUUUGGAAUACCAGUGGAGAUCCAUAUCAACAUGGAAUUUAUACAGCAGCUGGUGCCAGUCACAGCUAAUGAUGAAACUUCAGCUUAAUAAAAAGACCCCCAACUGAGUACAACCAUCUCGAAGAAAGUGUACUUAUCAAACAGCUUUCAAUCAGUUCAAGAGAGACACCUUAAUUGUGAAGAGCAAGAACCGCACAGCAGUUGUCACCAUGCCAACUUCAGAUCAAUGGCACUUCCACUGCUCUUGGUACAUAUAGCCUUGCCUAUGUCCUUAACUGCACCAACAUCCUUCCUGUUGGGAUGAGAUCUUGUCAGCUGCUAGCGUGUGAUGAUGCCUUCGUUCAUUACAUUACUAUACCCCUUAGCAAAAUUUAAACGUGUAAUGAUAAAGGUCACUACCUUUUCCUUUAAUUAAGACCUCUAUUUCUUGUUACCAGAAACAAGUGCCUAUGACAUUUUGUAUUUUCAGAAAUUAUCCUGUUGAAAUAAAGCUACACAAACAAAAUAAAA
rnacentral:sRNA from 1 species